rnacentral:tRNA from 1 species
GCCUCGGUGGCUCUGAGGCAAAGCACCGGCCUACGGAUCCCCAGGUGGCAGGUUCGAAUCCUGGCCGAGGUG